rnacentral:tRNA from 1 species
AUUUAUAUAGUUUAAUUAAAACAUUACAUUUUCACUGUAAAAUUAAUUCCAAAAUUUAUAAGUU